rnacentral:rRNA from 1 species
AUGGCAUAACGAGGGUUUAACUGUCUCCUUCCCCCAGUCAAUGAAAUUGAUCUGCCCGUGCAGAAGCGGACAUAAAUACAUAAGACGAGAAGACCCUAUGGAGCUUUAGACAAAAGAUCAAACAUGUAAAGAAACCAAAACAACCAAAAGGAACACGAAGGCCACAAAACCCAACGUAAACUGAUCUAAAUGUCUUCGGUUGGGGCGACCAUGGGGGAAAGAAAAGCCCCCACGAGGAACAGG